AACGAACGCUGGCGGCAUGCCUAACACAUGCAAGUCGAACGAACCCUUCGGGGUUAGUGGCGCACGGGUGCGUAACGCGUGGGGAUCUGCCCUUUGCUUCGGAAUAACAGUUAGAAAUGACUGCUAAUACCGGAUGAUGUCGAAAGACCAAAGAUUUAUCGGCAAAGGAUGAACCCGCGUAGGAUUAGCUAGUUGGUGGGGUAAGGGCCUACCAAGGCGACGAUCCUUAGCUGGUCUGAGAGAAUGAUCAGCCACACUGGGACUGAGACACGGCCCAGACUCCUACGGGAGGCAGCAGUGGGGAAUAUUGGACAAUGGGCGAAAGCCUGAUCCAGCAAUGCCGCGUGAGUGAUGAAGGCCUUAGGGUUGUAAAGCUCUUUUACCAGGGAUGAUAAUGACAGUACCUGGAGAAUAAGCUCCGGCUAACUCCGUGCCAGCAGCCGCCGUAA
rnacentral:rRNA from 1 species